GACGAACGCUGGCGGCGUGCCUAAUACAUGCAAGUCGAGCGAUGAAGCUUGGUGCUUGCACCAAUUUGAAGAGCAGCGAACGGGUGAGUAACGCGUGGGGAAUCUGCCUUUGAGCGGGGGACAACAUUUGGAAACGAAUGCUAAUACCGCAUAAUAACUUUAAACAUAAGUUUUAAGUUUGAAAGAUGCAUUUGCAUCACUCAAAGAUGAUCCCGCGUUGUAUUAGCUAGUUGGUGAGGUAAAGGCUCAACAAGGCGAUGAUACAUAGCCGACCUGAGAGGGUGGUCAGCCACAUUGGGACUGGGACACGGCCCAAACGCCUACGGGAGGCAGCAGUAGGGAAUCUUCGGCAAUGGAGGGAAGUCUGACCGAGCAACGCCGCGUGAGGGAAUAAGGUUUUCGGGUCGGAAAACUCUGUUUGUAGAGAAGAACGUUAGUGAGAGUGGAAAGCUCAUCAAGUGACGGUAACUACCCAGAAAGCGACGGCUAACUACGUG
rnacentral:rRNA from 1 species